AUCGUAUUGUAACACGGCCAGCGAUUGGCUGAAAAAAAGUGCAGGGAAAACCGUAUGAUUCAGUUUAUACAUGAGGCGAUUGGAUGAAAGUGGGGUGUUUUUAAGUAUAAAAACUAAUUUAAAAAGUAACACUACAAUGUUUUCUGAAGAAAAUGAAAUAUUUCAUGAGUCUCUGUGAUAAUUUUGACUUGGAUAUUUGCAUUUAUAAAAAGUGUAUGUCAGUCCUGUGAUCAGCAGAAAAUUUCAAUGAAAUGGGGGGUAAUCCUCUUUGAAGUCAAUUUGCAAAAAAUUUGGUCGGCUACCCCUAUAUAACAGGAACAUUUUUAUGUGUCAGGCAUUUCAUUCUGCUAGAAAAAAUACCUCUUUAGCAUGAAAACUGAAUUUUAAGGUAGGAUAAGGGACCAUUUCUUAUAAUGUAAGUCUAUGGAAAUAUCAAUGUGAGUGUCUGACCUAAAGAGAGAGAAAUUGGAACUGUCAUUAUUCACAGUAGAACUUUGUCUUCAUUGAUUACACCAUGAAAAGCUGAUAUUUUGGAAGAAUGGAUGUAUACAGCCUGUCUAGAUUUCAAAGAAAUGCUGUACAUUGGCUAUACACAUGCCAGGUUUGAAGACUUCAUGUAUAACUUGACAGGACCUGAUGUAAGCACAUUGGCCACUUUUGAUGGGUGUUGCAGAAUAUCCGGAAUGCGGCAUAACGGCGCUUGUUGCAAAAAAGGGAACUUCAAAGUUUUAAAUGACUUAAGAGUGGUGAAAAUGCAUCCACAUUAUUGAUUUAAAAGAAAUGCUGUACAUUGGCUAUACACAUGCCAGGUUUGAAAACUUCAUGUAUAACUUGACAGGACCUGAUGUAAGCACAUUGGCCACUUUUGAUGGGUGUUGCAGAAUAUCCGGAAUGCGGCAUAACGGCGCUUGUUGCAAAAAAGGGAACUUCAAAGUUUUAAAUGACUUAAGAGUGGUGAAAAUGCAUCCACAUUAUUGGUAAUUGUAUAUGCAACUUCAUUUAUUAUUAGAUUUUAGAAUACUAAACA